UAAACUAGGAUUAGAUACCCUAUUAUAUAAAAUAUAAAUUUAAAAUACUAAAUUAGUAUUAGUUAUGUUCUUGAAAAUUUAAAAAUUUGGCGGUAUUUUAGUCUUUUCAGAGGAAUCUGUUCUAUAAUCGAUAGUCCACGAUUAGAUGAACUUUACUUAUUAGUUUACAUAUCGUCGUAGUUUGAAUAUUUUAGUAGAAUUAUUAAUAUUCAAUAUUUUUUAUUAAAAAGUAAAUCAGAUCAAGGUGUAGCUUAUAGUAAAGAAGUAAUGGAUUACAAUAAAUUUAUUUAAGGAUAAUUUUUAUUAUAGAAAUUUGAAAAUGGAUUUGAUAGUAAUUUUAUAAUUUUUUUUAAAAUGAUUAUAGCUCUAAAAUAUGUACACAUCGCCCGUCGCUCUUAA
rnacentral:rRNA from 1 species